GAUUAUGGCUCAGAUUGAACGCUGGCGGCAGGCUUAACACAUGCAAGUCGAGCGGGGAUAGGGUGCUUGCACCUGAUCCUAGCGGCGGACGGGUGAGUAAUGCUUAGGAAUCUGCCUAUUAGUGGGGGACAACGUUCCGAAAGGGACGCUAAUACCGCAUACGUCCUACGGGAGAAAGCAGGGGAUCUUCGGACCUUGCGCUAAUAGAUGAGCCUAAGUCGGAUUAGCUAGUUGGUGGGGUAAAGGCCUACCAAGGCGACGAUCUGUAGCGGGUCUGAGAGGAUGAUCCGCCACACUGGGACUGAGACACGGCCCAGACUCCUACGGGAGGCAGCAGUGGGGAAUAUUGGACAAUGGGGGGAACCCUGAUCCAGCCAUGCCGCGUGUGUGAAGAAGGCCUUUUGGUUGUAAAGCACUUUAAGCGAGGAGGAGGCUUACCUGGUUAAUACCUGGGAUAAGUGGACGUUACUCGCAGAAUAAGCACCGGCUAACUCUGUGCCAGCAGCGGC
rnacentral:rRNA from 1 species